rnacentral:rRNA from 1 species
UACGAAGGUGGCAAGCGUUACUCGGAUUUACUAGGCGUAAAGGGCAGGUAGGUGGUUUGAUAAGUCUGCUGUGUAAGCUCCCGGCUUAACUGGGAGAGGUCAGCGGAUACUGUCAGGCUUGAGUAUGGGAGAGGGUACUGGAAUUCCUGGUGUAGCGGUGAAAUGCGCAGAUAUCAGGAGGAACACCAAUGGCGAAAGCAGGUACCUGGACCAUUACUGACACUCAGCUGCGAAAGCUAGGGGAGCAAACAGG